CCCCUCCCCCCACUGUAACCCCUUCACUCCUUGCCCCCUUGUAACUCCUUCACUCCCUGCCCCCCCUCAAUGUAACCCCUUGACUGGUUGCCAUGGUGUGCCAAGUGUAAGCCUCUAAAACUGAUUGCCAUGGUGUGCCAAUUUUAUGCCUCUAAAGCUUGUUGCCAUGGUAUGCCAAUUGUAUGCAUCUAAAACUGAUUGCCACGGUGUGCCAAUUGUAUGCAUCUACAGCGGAUUGCUAUAGUGUGACAAUUUUAUGCAUCUAAAGCUGCCAUAAUGUUCCAAAAGUAUGCCUGUAAAGCUGAUUGCCACGGUGUGCCAAUUGUAUGCAUCUAAAGCGGAUUUCCAUGGUGUGCCAAUUUUAUGCCUCUAAAACUGAUUGCCACCGUGUGCCAAUUGUAUGCAUCUAAAGCGGAUUGCUAUAGUGCGCCAAUUGUAUGUCUCUAAAGCGAUUUGCCAUGGUGUGCCAAUUUUCUGCCUCUAAAAGUAAUGGUCAAGGUGUGCCAAUUGUGUGCAUUUAAAACAGUUUGCUAUGGUGUGCCAAUUGUAUGCCUCUAAAGCUGAUUGCCAUGGUGUUCAUGGUGUUUUAAAAUAUGCAUUUAAAGCAAGUGGGUCUCGAAAAAUUACAGUUUUGAAAAGUGGGUCUCGGCCAAAAAGGUUUGGGAAGCCCUGCAGUAGAGCAUUUGUGAGAAGGCCUGGCUCGCAAUCUCCAUUACAGUUCAUCCCAAAAGUGUUCGAUGAGAUUGAGAUCAGUUCUCUGUACAAGCCAGUCCAGUUUUCACACACCAAAGUCACUAAACCAUGUCUUUAUGGACCUUGCUUUGUGUAAUGGGGCACAGUCAUGCUGGAAAAGAAAACUGUUCCCAGAAAGUUGGAAGCAUAGCAUUGUCGAAAAAAUGUCUUGGUAUGCUGAAGCACCGUUGACCGUGGAUUAUCUAGCAGGGAUGAAAGUUCACAAAAUGACUUAAAGGUGAAUUCACGAAGCGCUUGAAAUCACUGAGCUCUUCAGAGCAACCCAUUUUUUUUCACAAAUAGUUGCAAGUUUUAAAUGCAGACUGCAUUGCUAGGUGUUUGAUUGUAUACACCUGUGGCAAUAGGUGUGAUUAAAACACCUGAAGUGAAUAAUUAAGAGGUGUGUCCAAAACACUGAUGUCCAUAAAAUGUAUAUAUGCAUGAUGCCUGCUUUUGUCCUUUAACACGUUAACACCGUUAAAGGGUGCUGUGCUGUCCUGUAGAAGGAUGGCUUUAACAGUGUUAAAGCGGCAUAACAUAUCCUAGCAAUCAAAAUUCGCCCCGUUCCCCAUGGCCUGGAUACCUAGCUUCCAUCACGAUCAGGGGGACUGCUUGACAACAGAGGCAAUCCCCCUGCAGCAAAUCCUGCCCAUCCAUAUCAUGUGAUCUUGAUGUCACAGCGAUUACAUGAUUUAGAUCUGCAGUUGACAUCACUGCCUGUAGGGGAACUGCUUGGGUUGUCAGGCAGAUAAUCCAAUUUAUAAUUAAUAAAAUCAAAUCCUUAAGGGGAAAAAAAAAUCGAGAAUUUUUUUUUUUUUUUUAAAGCAUAUGAGAAAUGUUGUGUGGUUCACUUAGCUGUGGUGGGAGAUAAAGUGAUGAAAAGUAGGACAAUUAGCAUAGUUAGGUCUAACAAGAUCCAACUGCAACAUAAUUGUCACCAGCCACUAAUGAUUUAGCUUGGGCCCAUUGCCAGACGCGAAGGCCUUACAAAGGUGUCUCCCAUCCACGGCAGCUAAGUCAAUGCUACUCAUAGAAGCAGGAUUGGGACAAUGUAGGAACACACAUACAUGUAUAGAGAACAUACCCAGGCUGGCACUAUAGCAAUGGCAUAACAGGAUCCAUAGAUAUCCAAGAAUAAAAAUCAGGUAUUUGAAUUCAAUACCUGAUCACCAUUAAAAGGGAUUAUGAACUAGGCACAAUUUGGAAAUUGGAACAAGUUUUCACGACAAGUAAUCCCAACACGCAGAAUAUAACCCAAAUUAGAAAACGUAUAACGUUUGAUGUAACCUAGAUGGAAUAGUCGAGGUAUAGCCAAUGCCAAGGAAAUCAAGAGAUCAGGAUAACGAUAAGGAGUAGCCGAGUCAGGAAACCAGAAAACAGGAUAAACGAGCCUAGUCAGGAUACCAGAAAGCAGAAUAGUCAAUAUAAAACAAGCCAAGUCAAAUAAUAAAUCACACAGACAGAAAUCAGUAUAGCACUAGAGGGAACAACUAGUGAACCACAAUAGGGCACUGAACAAAAGCAAAAGGUGCUCUUUUACAGUGGAACGUCUUUUGCUUUAAAUCCACGUCCCCAAAACGUCAGGGAGCGUGGAAUAUUUUGACUUUUCGCGACAUAGCCGCUAUGACGUCGGCACACAUGCCAUGUCAUAAAAGGAGGCGUGCAUGGAGCGCCCGGCAUGCGUCAUGCCAUCGCCAGGAGGAAUCUGCACCCGGAGCAUCUCCUCGUUGGUCCACGGGAUUAAGGUAAGGUAUCGUGACACAAGUCUAGAAAUAUUACCAUGAAUACCAAACUGUCUGAAAUUCGUUAACAAAUCAAAAACAAACAGGAAGCUUUUAUAGUAAUCAGCACCCAGACUAGAACACAGAGCAGAAUGGAACACAGACUAGACAACAAGCACAAACAACACCAGAAGUCCAGUUUAGAAGUCCAUGGAUUUAGCCCAAUCCAUGAACUUAGAUCAAUACCAAGACACUACCUUACUUUACAUACUCACUGCAGGACAUGGUGUCAUGCUAAAAGUAAAAAAAAAAAAAAAACAGACAAAGUGAAGGAAACAAGAACAGAGCAAAGUAAAGUAAGACAAUGAUCGAGAAUAGGACAGACAAUUUGGACACCAAAAAUAUGCAACAGAGAAAUCCACUCGUGUUAUCCCCUGAGCCUUGUUAGUAGGCGUCUCUGCUAAUGUGAGUUCCUUACAGUGGUCUACAGCCAGGGUCCUAGUAUUGCUACCAAGCAUAGACACAGACUUCACAUAAUGGAGUUGGACAUCACAAAAGCAUGCAUUUGGGGUCAACUUUACUGGGAAAGAAUAGGAUUGGGGUAAAAUAGCAAUGAGACAAACAUAGACA
rnacentral:lncRNA from 1 species